GGUGUAACCAGUGUUAUCAGAUACAACCUGAAUCAUGUGGCAUGGGAUGUAUUAAUUUGUGCAAAUCUUCAGUGGUGUAACCAGUGUAAAAGAUACAACCUGAUCAUGGUGGCAUGGGGUAUAUUCAUUUGUGCAACUCAUUUCAGUGGUGUCCAGUGUCAGAUACAACUGAAUCAUGUGGCAUGGGUAUAUUCAUUAGUGCAAACUCAUUCAGUGGUGUAACCAGUGUUACAGAUCAACCUGAAUCAUGUGGCAUGGGGUAUAUUCAUUAUGCCACUCAUUCUAUUUGACAUAUUCAGGUGGAUACAACCCCGGUUUUGCCCUGUUUGCUUCAGUUAUUUCCAGUGAAUACACUCCGUACCAUUAAUCAGAUCAAGUCCAGUCAGCUAUUACACCUGUAUCACCUUGACAACGUGUCUGGAAACAACCCAGGUAACCAGUAACCACUAAGGAAGUCCAGCGGACUUGCUGCCUACUAAACCCACCUAAUAAAUACGUGAAGAGAAAACACAUGAAACAUACCAAACAAUGUCCACUGCUGGUGUGACCAACCCCCCCCCCCCCUUCUAAAAUGUAACAACAAUGAUGUUACAACCAUAAAUAAACUGUAGCAAGCCGUGUUUAUAAUCAUGGGCAUAUCGUCUUACAACUUCGAGCAUUCUUUGUGAACACGCUGAUGCCACGCAGGGCCAACAGCCAGAAGGUUGAGGGUUUGCUGUCCACCAUGUACGAGACUCUCCCUGCCUGUCCACCAUUAGAGACUCUCCCUGCCUGUCCACCAUGUACGAGACUCCCCUGCCUGUCCACCAGUACGAGACCUCCCUGCCUGUCCACCAUGUAAGAGACUCUCCCUGGCUGUGCCACCAUGUCGAGACUCUCCCGGCCUGUCCACCAUGGACGAGACUCCCCUGCCCUGUCCUCCACCUGGACGAGACUCUCCUGCUCGGGCCACCAUGUACGAGACUCCCCUGCCGUCCCACCAUGUACGAGACUCUCCGCCUGUCCACCAUGUACGAGACUCUCCCGGCCUGUCCACCAUGGACGAGACUCUCCCUGCCUGUCCACCAUGGACGAGACUCCCUCCCUGAACUGUCCCCGGCAUGACUCUCCUGCUGACUCUCCUGCCACUCUCCCUGCCUACUCUCCCUGCCUGACCACCAUGGACGAGACUCUCCUGCCUGGCCAACAUGGACGAACUCUCCCUGCCUGUCCACCUGGACGAGACCCCUGCCUUCCACCAUGGACGAGACUCUCCCUGCCUGUCCCACAUGGACGAGACCUCCCUGCGUCCACCAUGGACGAGACUCUCCCGCCUGUCCACAUGGACGAGACGCUC
rnacentral:lncRNA from 1 species